UUCCGGUUGAUCCUGCCGGACCCGACUGCUAUCAGAGUGGGACUAAGCCAUGCGAGUCAACGCCGUAAGGCGUGGCAUACGGCUCAGUAACACGUAGUCAACAUGCCCAAAGGACGUGGAUAACCUCGGGAAACUGAGGAUAAACCGCGAUAGGCCAAGGUUUCUGGAAUGAGCCAUGGCCGAAAUCUAUACGGCCUUUGGAUUGGACUGCGGCCGAUCAGGCUGUUGGUGAGGUAAUGGCCCACCAAACCUGUAACCGGUACGGGCUUUGAGAGAAGGAGCCCGGAGAUGGGCACUGAGACAAGGGCCCAGGCCCUAUGGGGCGCAGCAGGCGCGAAACCUCUGCAAUAGGCGAAAGCUUGACAGGGUUACUCUGAGUGAUGCCCGCUAAGGGUAUCUUUUGGCACCUCUAAAAU
rnacentral:rRNA from 1 species